CAAAACUAGCUCAAAACAUAUUAAAACUAAACCAGAAUUACAACUACAAAUAAAACAUUUAUGUAAUAAAAGUAUAGGAGAUAGAAAUUUAUUAAUUGACGCUAUAGAGAUAGUACCGCAAGGGAAAGAUGAAAUAUUAUUUAAUAGUACAGCAAAGCAUAGACUAAUACUAGUACCUUUUGCAUAAUGAUUUAACAAGAAUAACCCUAGCAAAGCGAACUUAGUUAGACACCCCGAAACCAGACGAGCUACUUAGAGACAGUUUUCAGAACCAACCCGUCUAUGUUGCAAAAUAGUGGGACGAUCUUUAAGUAGAGGUGAAAAGCCUAACGAGCCUGGUGAUAGCUGGUUAUCCAAAUAUGAAUUUAAGUUCUACUUUAAAUAUACCUAAACAAACUACAAUGCAUAUGUAUAUUUAAAAGCUACCCUAUAGAGGUACAGCUCUCUAGGUAUAAGGGAACAACCUAUUUUAGUGAAUAAACUACUUUUAUCAUACUUAGUGGGCCUGAAAGCAGCCAUCACUCAAAAAAGCGUUAAAGCUUAAUAAUUAAACUAAUUAUAAUCCAAAACUCUAAACUUAAUUCCUACAACCAAUAUUGGAUAAUUCUACUACUCAGGUAGAAGGUACACUGUUAAUAUGAGUAACAAGAAAUAAUUCUCCUUGCAUAAGCCUACAUCUAACACCUUGUUUCGAUAAUUAAACAACAUAAUAGUCUCAAUCCACCCAUAAACAAGCUAUCAACCCACUGUUAACCCUACAUAGGAAUGCAAACAGGAAAGAUUAAAAGAAAUGAAAGGAACUCGGCAAA
rnacentral:rRNA from 1 species